UACGAAGGGUGCUAGCGUUGCUCGGAAUCACUGGGCGUAAAGGGUGCGUAGGCGGAUUCUUAAGUCAGGGGUGAAAUUCCGGGGCUCAACCUCGGAACUGCCUUUGAUACUGGGGAUCUUGAGUCCGGGAGAGGUGAGUGGAACUGCGAGUGUAGAGGUGAAAUUCGUAGAUAUUCGCAAGAACACCAGUGGCGAAGGCGGCUCACUGGCCCGGAACUGACGCUGAGGUGCGAAAGCGUGGGGAGCAAACAGG
rnacentral:rRNA from 1 species